AGUAUUGAGCCAUCACUCCAGCCCCUGAGAGGAGACUCUGAGUAGUGAUACUCAGAAAUGUUUUGUGACAGAAACCACAACUGGAUCUUACCCUCCAGCCCCCGCAUGGGUCAGGGAGAAGAUACACCCCUUAGCAGGUGUUCCUGGGCUUCCUGGCUGCCUCCAGGAGGCCGAUGCCACAGAGAGCCUUUCUCCUGGCCAGGCUGUCCAUUGAGGACUUCUGCUGGACUGAUGGCUACAGGCUGGCUCGUCACUGAGAGGACGAGACACAGUGGACAAUGGGGACCACGGAGGUGACAAGCCCAAGUAGCAUCAGAGAGAGAUCAUGUCACUGGGAACACUGUUGCCUGCUUUGCUCAGAUGAUGGUGUGUUGGGGGAUGCUUUAGGUCACCAGGGAUGCUGAAAACAAUCCUUGCCUCUAUCUGUAUAAACUGGGGACAUGGCUGCUCCAAGCUAUGGCUGAGGGGAAGGUUUUUAGUGUAGAUGUGAGGGAGAGAACAGUCAGCGGCAUCUGGAAGAGUCCACAGGAGGGAGAGAAAGUAGGUACACUACACAGGACAUGGCUAGCAGACUGGACCAGGCCAUGAGAGGAGAGAGAGAAAGGGAGAAUGAGAGAGGAAGACAAAGAGAGUGUAGGCAAAGGGGCCCCAGAGAGAGGGGACCCAGAAAGGAAGACAAAAGAGAGAGCACAUGGCCGAAAUGGCAGUUAUACGGGGAUGGGAAGCUGGGGGAAGGGAAGGCCAUGAGCUGGAGAUGUUCAGGGUAGGGGGCAGGAUAAAGAGAGCUGAGAAGAGCCACAGGUACUGAGGGAACCUGGAGGCCAGGAUGUGCUUUGGUAUGCUAAUAGGCACCACAGAUUGUCGUCUGUCUGGAGUUUCUUUUGGGCCUGGCACAACCCGCGCAUGCCUCCCGUGUAUUCCUCCACUUAGGGUUGAAACUGUCUUCAGAUGGUGUCGGCUGCCCCUGCCAGAGAAGGCUUUCGAUUGGGAGCAUCUGGACCGAGCAGUGAGCUGGAGGGGUGUUCGAGGCUGACGACCCACAGGAAGGAGAGUGGAGACGGUGAAGAGAGACAAGAACGGAAGGUGGAGGCUAGUCCUGAGCUGCCCAGGAGAUCCUAACUCUGAAGGCCAGUGGUUGGGUGUCUGCAAAACAGCUGUCAUGCAUUUUCUCCUUGCAUCCUGAUGGUGACCCUGUGAGGUGUUCCUUUGCUGCGAGGCUGUGCCCACACCAGGCACCGGACAUUGAGG